GCAUAUCAAUAAGCGGAGGAAAAGAAAAUAACAAUGAUUCCCCUAGUAACUGCGAGUGAAGAGGGACAAGCUCAAAUUUUAAAUCCAUCGGGUUUUACCUGAUCGAGUUGUAAUUUGAAGAAGCGUUUUCUGCGUAUUUGAUCAGCCUAAGUCCUAUUGAAUGAGGCAUCACGGAGGGUGAUAAUCCCGUCCGGUUGAUCUUUUGCGUUUUACGAUACGCUUUCUAAGAGUCAAGUUGUUUGGGAUUGCAGCUUAAAAUGGGAGGUAAAUUUCUCCUAAGGCUAAAUAACGGCGAGAGACCGAUAGCGAACAAGUACCGUGAGGGAAAGAUGAAAAGAACUUUGAAAAGAGAGUUAAACAGUACGUGAAAUUGUUGAAAGGGAAACGAUUGAAGCCAGUCGUACCUUCGGGUAAUCAGCCUUUCGGGUGCGAUUCUGUGGAGUUUGAGGAGCUUUAACACCUUCAUGCUUUGCAUAUUCGUGCUCUUGGGUGUACUUGCCCGUGUGGUUGGUUAACAUCAAUUUCGGGCACCAUAAAAUGGCUGGAGGAAUGUAGCUUCGAUCUUGUAUUGAAGUGUUAUAGCCUUCGGUAGAUGUGGUGAUCGAGAUUGAGGAUUGCAACGGAUACCUUUCGGGGCUACCUGUCUGAUCUCUGAUCGUUGCUUUGGUGCUGAAAGCGUGCUUAUAGUUAUCAAAGUCGAUGGUUAAUAGGUUAGAAUGGGUUAAAUUCGUUAAGGAUGUUGACGUAAUGGCUUUAAACGAC
rnacentral:rRNA from 1 species